rnacentral:piRNA from 1 species
UGCAGGCGGUUCUUUCCCAAGAGAC